rnacentral:rRNA from 1 species
GAGUUUGAUCAUGGCUCAGGAUGAACGCUGGCGGCGUGCUUAACACAUGCAAGUCGAACGGGCGAAUUAUAUCGGAGGUCUUCGGGCCGAAGAGAUAAUAAGCUAGUGGCGGACGGGUGCGUAACGUGUGGGUAAUCUGCCUUUGUCAUAGGAAUAACUGCUUGAAAAAGUAGCUAAUACCAAAUAACAUAUCGUAUAGGCAUCUAUAAGAUAUCAAAGAGAAAUCGGACAAAGAUGAGCCCGCAUCUGAUUAGCUGGUUGGUAGGGUAAAAGCCUACCAAGGCGACGAUCAGUAGCCGGCCUGAGAGGGUGAACGGCCACAUUGGAACUGAGACACGGUCCAAACUCCUACGGGAGGCAGCAGUGGGGAAUAUUGCACAAUGGGGGGAACCCUGAUGCAGCAACGCCGCGUGAGUGAAGAAGGCUUUCGAGUCGUAAAACUCUGUUGUAAGGGAAGAUAAUGA